UCGUGAUCUCCUUGGAGCUGCAUCCUGGCUUGGUAUGUGCAUUUCUAGGUCUCCCUUGAAACAAGCGUGCUGCAUCAGAGGAGAGCAACAAAAGACGGUGAGGUGCCACAGCUGCCUUGCUGAGGACGCUAAGCCACGUUGGAGAAGCCACGUGUGGUCAAGCAUCAUCAUAGCUCUGCUGCUGGCCACAAAGGCACUAGCUACCAGCUGCAUGGAUGGGAAGGCUCCUGCCAGGCUGAGGAAACACACAAGUGGUAUUUAAGUGGAGAUGCGUUUUGCCUCUGCAGCCACACAGUGCCGACAUCUCAGGUAUAAUGCUUCUUAGAGAGUCACAAGGUGGCCUUUGGUCUCUUUUCCUUCAUGAACCCAA